GGGCAGAGGCCGGGGCCUGGGACCGACUGGGACCGAGCUGCCCCGGAAGGGACCGAGGGGUCUCCAGCUCCGCCGCGCUCAUGGGACGCACUCUGGGGUCCGGUGGGAAGGCAGAGGUCCAUCCCGAUGACGCCAUCGGCCCCGUCCUUGAUCGCCCUCGCUCCUCGCUCCCGCCCAACCAACCUAUACCUACCUGAGUACCACCUGGAUGGGCGUUCCUGGCCCCUCUGGCCCCUGCUCCAGGCUCCGCGCGGGGUCCCUGUGGCCGCAACAUGGGAAAAUGGAAGAAGAGAGAGGGGGCAGGGGAAGCAGUGUUAAGGGGAAAGCAGCUGUGAAUGGUGGGACCGAGUACGACCCUGAACUAUGCACCGGCUGGCGCUGGUCCUGCUGUAAAUGCGCAAGGCUAACCACAAACACUCCACUUCACGAUGUAAGGAUUCAUUUAGGGACUCAUUUAUCAUGGAGAUCAUCAGCUCCUGCCACAAAGCUGCUCUCAAAUGUGCCCAGAAGCCGAGUGACAUUCUCUCAGCCCCUGCCAAGCUGGCCUCUCGGACCCGACCAUCUGCUACAAAUUUAGAAUUCCCGGAGGGUGGGGGACAGGCUCCCCUGGGCCCUGGGAAGCCCAAGUGUCAACGCCCUCUGCUCUUUCUGACGCAUUUCACGGAGGAGGGCUCAUCCCCAUUUGUCAGGUGCAGAGACUGAGGCCCUGGUAGAAGUGGCCCAGCUGGUCUGAGGCUCACCCUGCAUCAGCAUUGGAUGGAGGUGGACCAGAGGUGAGAAGAUGGUGAGGAAGAAAGUUCUUUAAUCACAUGACACACUCAUCUUUCGUUGUUCCUCCUGUAACCAACCCCCCCCCCCCCAGUGGAGGAAAAGCCAGAUGGGUCCAAGGCCUGUUGUGAAAUUUUCCAAACAGUGCUUGAUGUAAUCUUUAAUUAAGAUGUGAAUGUGGGCCAUAGGACUCAUUCCACAAAAGUCUCCAAAGCGGGGACCUUCAGAGGUUAUUGAAUUGACUUCUGUCUGGCCCCCUACCCCAGGUACAGAUGGGAAGACGGAAGAGGGGGCCAGUAUAGGCACUGUGAGGAACGGUGAUUUUUAGAUCGAGGUACAGAGACUCACAGUAACCCCCCCCGGCACCCGCGGGCCACCACUCUCUCCCCUUAAAUACCUGUCUCCUCUCCUCCGAAACUUCACAUGAGGGUCCAGCAAGAGGAAAUAAAGCCCCCGGAAACCAA